rnacentral:lncRNA from 1 species
UACCCGAAUCCUACUAGAUAAAAAUAAUAAAUUUUAAUAUAUUUCUAAACCUAAUCAGAUUAAAAAUAUUUAAAUAAUCAGGCUCAAAAUAAAAAAAAAUAAAAAAAUUUGAAAAUAAUCUAAAAAUACAAAAACAGAGGAUGAAACAAUUAAAUUUGAGUCCCAAACUAGGUCGGAAUGGCUUUAUGGUUUGAUGGGUAGGUCGCAAAGAGUGUUUUCAGACUAGGGUUGCAUGCUGAAAUUCGAUGCUCAAGUAAAAAGUUAUGACCAUUUAAAGAAUUCUCAUGCUGAUUUUAAAAAUUACUGAAUUCAAUGAAAUUUUCAGUUCAGCUUAAUUGAAUUACAUUUUUUUAGAAACUCUAACGCUAAAUUGACCGCAUCACUUGUGUUGGCAAAUUCGUGACAAAUUCGUUCGUUCAACACACAAGCUCUCGUAACACACGAGU